rnacentral:rRNA from 1 species
UACAGAGACUGCAAGCGUUAUUCGGAUUCACUGGGCGUAAAGGGUGCGCAGGCGGCCGUGUGUGUGAGGCGUGAAAGCCCGGGGCUUAACCCCGGAAUUGCACCUCAAACUACAUGGCUAGAGCAUUGGAGAGGGUAGCAGAAUUCAUGGUGUAGCAGUGAAAUGCGUAGAUAUCAUGAGGAAUACCAGAGGCGAAGGCGGCUACCUGGACAAUUGCUGACGCUCAGGCACGAAAGCGUGGGGAGCGAACGGG